rnacentral:rRNA from 1 species
AGAGUUUGAUCCUGGCUCAGGACGAACGCUGGCGGCGUGCCUAACACAUGCAAGUCGAACGGAACUUAGUUGAAGGAAUUCUUCGGAAGGACAUUGGUUAAGUUUAGUGGCGGACGGGUGAGUAACGCGUGAGUAACCUGCCUCCGAGAGGGGAAUAACAAUCUGAAAAGAUUGCUAAUACCGCAUAACAUAGCGAAGUCGCAUGGCAGCGCUAUCAAAGAUUUAUCGCUCGGAGAUGGACUCGCGUCCGAUUAGUUAGUUGGUGAGGUAACGGCUCACCAAGACCGCGAUCGGUAGCCGGACUGAGAGGUUGAACGGCCACAUUGGGACUGAGACACGGCCCAGACUCCUACGGGAGGCAGCAGUGGGGGAUAUUGCGCAAUGGGGGAAACCCUGACGCAGCAACGCCGCGUGAAGGAUGAAGGUUUUCGGAUUGUAAACUUCUUUUAUUAAGGACGAAAAAAUGACGGUACUUAAUGAAUAAGCUCCGGCUAACUACGUG